CACGUAGGUGGCUAGGCGUGUCGAGUGUGAAAUCUCCGGGCUCAACCCGGAAAGUGCGCUCGAAACUACCUGGCUGGAGUCCGGGAGAGGGAAUCGGAAUACAGGGUGUAGCGGUGAAAUGCGUUGAUAUCCUGUAGAACACCGGAGGCGAAGGCGGAUUCCUUGAACGGUACUGACGCUGAGGCGCGAAAGUCGGGGGAGCAAACA
rnacentral:rRNA from 1 species